rnacentral:miRNA from 1 species
GCUGCUGCUGCUGCUGCUGCUGCUGCUGCCGCUGCUGCCUGCUGAUGGUGAUGAUGCCGUCGUGCCUCUCCCAAGCAGGACCAGGACGACUGACUGGGAGAGGAGGGAGAGGAGAGGAGAGGGAGAAGGAGAGGAGAGAG